rnacentral:rRNA from 1 species
AGGACGAACGCUGGCGGCGUGCCUAACACAUGCAAGUGGAGCGACGAACCAGGCUUCGGCCUGGGGCAAAGCCGCGAACGGGUGAGUAACACGUGGGUAACCUGCCCCGAUGAUUGGGACAACCCGAGGAAACUCGGGCUAAUACCGAAUGUGCCCUCCGACCAUAAGGUCGCUGGGGAAAGGAAGCUUCGGCCUCCGCAUCGGGAUGGGCCCGCGGCCCAUUAGCUUGUUGGUGAGGUAACGGCUCACCAAGGCUGCGAUGGGUAGCUGGUCUGAGAGGACGAUCAGCCACACUGGGACUGAGACACGGCCCAGACUCCUACGGGAGGCAGCAGUGGGGAAUAUUGCGCAAUGGGCGAAAGCCUGACGCAGCGACGCCGCGUGGGGGAUGAAGGCCUUCGGGUUGUAAACCCGUUUCAGCAGGACGAAGCGAAAGUGACGGUACCUGCAGAAGAAGCGCCGGCUAACUACGUGCCAGCAGCCGCGGU